rnacentral:rRNA from 1 species
UGGCUCAGGAUGAACGCUGGCGGCGUGCUUAACACAUGCAAGUCGAACGAUGAACCUCACUUGUGGGGGGAUUAGUGGCGAACGGGUGAGUAACACGUGAGUAACCUGCCCUUGACUCUGGGAUAAGCCUGGGAAACUGGGUCUAAUACCGGAUAUGACUGAUCAUCGCAUGGUGGUUGGUGGAAAGCUUUUGCGGUUUUGGAUGGACUCGCGGCCUAUCAGCUUGUUGGUGGGGUAAUGGCCUACCAAGGCGACGACGGGUAGCCGGCCUGAGAGGGUGACCGGCCACACUGGGACUGAGACACG